GAUGGUAGUGUAUUGGACUACCAUGGCGUUCACGGGUAACGGAGAAUUAGGGUUCGAUUCCGGAGAAGCAGCCUGAGAAACGGCUACUACAUCUACGGCAGGCAGCAGGCGCGUAAAUUACCCAAUCCUAAAUCAGGGAGGUAGUCACAAGAAAUAACGAGCCAGAAUUAAGUUUCUAGUAUUGCAAUGGAUUCACUUUAAAUCCUUGUUUGAAAUCAAUUGGAGGGCAAGUCUGGUGCCAGCAGCCGCGGUAA
rnacentral:rRNA from 1 species